rnacentral:rRNA from 1 species
UACGUAGGGCGCAAGCGUUGUCCGGAAUUAUUGGGCGUAAAGAGCUCGUAGGCGGUUUGUCGCGUCUGCUGUGAAAACCUAAGGCUCAACCUUGGGCUUGCAGUGGGUACGGGCAGACUAGAGUGCGGUAGGGGUGACUGGAAUUCCUGGUGUAGCGGUGGAAUGCGCAGAUAUCAGGAGGAACACCGAUGGCGAAGGCAGGUCACUGGGCCGCAACUGACGCUGAGACGCGAAAGCUAGGGGAGCGAACGGG